rnacentral:rRNA from 1 species
GAUGAACGCUGGCGGCGUGCCUAAUACAUGCAAGUCGAGCGAACAGACGAGGAGCUUGCUCCUUUGACGUUAGCGGCGGACGGGUGAGUAACACGUAGGUAACCUACCUAUAAGACUGGGAUAACUUCGGGAAACCGGAGCUAAUACCGGAUAAUAUUUCGAACCGCAUGGUUCGAUAGUGAAAGAUGGCUUUGCUAUCACUUAUAGAUGGACCUGCGCCGUAUUCGCUAGUUGGUAAGGUAACGGCUUACCAAGGCAACGAUACGUAGCCGACCUGAGAGGGUGAUCGGCCACACUGGAACUGAGACACGGUCCAGACUCCUACGGGAGGCAGCAGUAGGGAAUCUUCCGCAAAGGGCGAAAGCCUGACGGAGCAACGCCGCGUGAGUGAUGAAGGUCUUCGGAUCGUAAAACUCUGUUAUUAGGGAAGAACAAACGUGUAAGUAACUGUGCACGUCUUGACGGUACCUAAUCAGAAAGCCACGGCUAACUACGUG